rnacentral:rRNA from 1 species
UGAUGACGAGACGCUAAGGCGUUGAAGUGGUGUAUGUCAGACUUCCAAGAAAAGCUCGCAAUGUCAUAGAUAAAAAAUGCCUGUACCAUAACCGACACAGGUGGGUAGGUAGAGUAUACUAAGGGGCGCGAGAUAACUCUCUCUAAGGAACUCGGCAAAAUGACUCCGUAACUUCGGGAGAAGGAGUGCCUUAUUUAUAAGGUUGCAAUAACAAGAUCCAAGCAACUGUUUAUCAAAAACACAGGUCUCCGCUAAGUCGUAAGACGAUGUAUGGGGGCUGACGCCUGCCCAGUGCCAGAAGGUUAAAGAAGUUGGUUAGUGUAAGCGAAGCUGAUAACUGAAGCCCUGGUGAACGGCGGCCGUAACAAUAACGGUCCUAAGGUAGCGAAAUUCCUUGUCGGGUAAGUUCCGACCCGCACGAAAGGCGUAAUGAUUUGGAUACUGUCUCGGAGAGAGGCUCGGUGAAAUAGACUUGUCUGUGAAGAUGCGGACUACCUGCACCAGGACAGAAAGACCCUAUGAAGCUUUGCUGUAACUUGAAAUUGGAAUUGGACUUUGCUUGCGCAGUAUAGGUGAGAAGCGUUGAAGAUACUCUUGCGGGACUAUUGGAGCUAUCAGUGAGAUACCACUCUUGUAAUGUUAGAUUUCUAACUUUGAACCAUAAUCUGGUCAAAGAACAGUUUCAGGCGGGCAGUUUGACUGGGGCGGUCGCCUCCUAAAUGGUAACGGAGGCUUACAAAGGUUUCCUCUGAACGGAUAGAAAUCGUAUCUAGAGUGUAAAGGCAUAAGGAAGCUUGACUGUGAGACCUACAAGUCGAGCAGGGACGAAAGUCGGUCAUAGUGAUCUGACGGUACUGAGUGGAAAGGCCGUCACUCAACGGAUAAAAGUUACUCUAGGAUAACAGGCUGAUCUCCCCCAAGAGUUCACAUCGACGGGUAGGUUUGGCACCUCGAUGUCGGCUCAUCGCAUCCUGGGGCGGUAGUACGUCCCAAGGGUUGGGCUGUUCGCCCAUGAAAGCGGUACGCGAGCUGGGUUCAGAACGUCGUGAGACAGUUCGGUCCAUAUCCGGUGUAGGCGUUAGAAUAUUGAGAGGAGCCUUCUUUAGUACGAGAGGACCGAGAAGGACACACCGCUGGUGUACCAGUUAUCGUGCCAACGGUAAACGCUGGGUAGCUAUGUGUGGAGAGGAUAACCGCUGAAAGCA